AUUACAGAAGGUGACCGUAUAUGUCAGGAUCAAAGAAGAACUCGUUUUAAAGGCGUGAAAACUCAUAAGGGCCGCAGAUGUCUCCAAGAUGGGGAAAAUGAGCUGCUCGUGCAGUCACCCACAAAGAUUCAAUGUUGGUGACUUUCCUCAAAGUGAGACGUGGCCUGAGCUCGUCAUUGCACUCGCCCGCCAGACGCCAUUAGCACCAUUUCGCCUUUCCUAAGGUCUGUCCAUAUUUCCAGAGGAUUAGUCGGGCUCUGCUAUUUUCCGUGAUGGCUCAUGCACAUGUGUGCAUAAUGCAGCAUGUGAACAUCUGGAGCUGGUUAGCCAUAUUGGGGAAGUUAGACCCCCCCCCCCCCCCCCUCCCUCACAGUCUGCAUUGCGUAGGCUGCACUGCAAAGCCUCAGUGUAUGAACCCGUUGAUCCGCGUCACUGUGUCACCGUGCUUGAAUACAACAAUCUUGAUAAUCAACUGAGGGUUUUGUCAGAGCCUUUACUAAAAUGGGAGCCAGGUGAAAGUAACAACAGUAAAGCAAAACCACACAGUAUCAUACCAUUUUUUUAUUUUGAUGCCAUUCAGAUUGGCAACCUGCAGCAACAUUGCGGAGUGAUUAAUCUCACCAUCAUAACACCAAAACAAAUCUUUACACUGAGCAUUGUAAAUGCAUGCUUAGCAAAGUUCAUACAACAAAUAAAUGAUGACUAUACUAUGAUUAACAGAUAAUUGGUGCACAUUUAUAGCCACGAUAAAUUUGAAAUACAAACAUAUCGAAACACGAGUAGGGAGGGGGCCGAUAACCGAUAUUAGGCUGAUACCGACCUCGUUUUAAGGUCAGCAGUAGGUGGAGAAAGAAAGCCAUUACAUAUGAACUGUAAGGGUGCAGCUAGACAUAGUGAUUGGUGGAAUGGAAAUUGUUAACUUCUGUGAAUCGUAUGUGUAACUACCUCACAUUAGCCAUUUUUUCCUGUCUUUUUUCUUAUUUCCUAACAACAACGCAAUGCAGCUGUAAUUUAUACUUUCUUAAAAGCAACCAGGUUUUAGCUUGACACUCAGUAUGUUUUGAAGGACUUUACAAGGCUGAAGGUUAACUGUAUGUUAAAAAAAUGAGGCAGUAUGGUAAGGCUUGUGACCAUGACCCUAAACAACAAUGGACGGAUGGAACUUAUUUCUGUCAAUGAUCAGGCACGGUCCCGGAUUGCGACCUGUCUUUCUCCACAUCUGCAAUCGCAGAGUUGAGCAUCUGCAAUCGCAGAGUUGAACAUCAGCGGUCAUUCAAGCGCCAAAUGUCAUGUCCAAGUCCCGGUUGUUUACUGUGACGUGCAUAAAAGCAGGCCAGCUGUGACUCGCAUCAUGCUGCUUCAGCACAAUGAGGAACGUGAUGAGGAUGCUGAAAAACUCAGUGUGGUCCACACACGCAAAUUAAAAGCGAAUAGGAAA